rnacentral:antisense_RNA from 1 species
CUUCACCGAGCCGAGCCACAGCGGCUCGCCCGCCCGGUCCUUGCCGUAGGUGGCCAGCAGCGCGCCGGUCUC